rnacentral:lncRNA from 1 species
GUUCUCAAAAUAGACAUCAGCUGAGUAUACACCACAAGCAAUAUCAGAGUCAAAUGCAGAAGUAGAGUCAUAGGCACAGGCAAAAUAAGCAUUAGUCACAGAAUCAAAAUAGGUAGACAUGUAGAAAAGAGGGGUAAGAAUGCAGAGAAAAUAUGCAACUAAAGUUAUCUAAAUGCAACACACAUGAUAGCACACACAAAACGGACCAUCACACUCACAACACAAGACAAAACACAACACACACUAACACAACAAAGACCUAAAACCGAACCGUUGGUCCUCGGCAACGACGCCAAAAUUUUGAUGGGUUGUCGCGGCCCAUACAAAUUUGAUUGCAUAUGAGAAAUGCAGUAUAGCUAGGUCGUCUCUCAAGGACCAAAUGUGGUUCGAGAAUUAGGUCUAACACGAAGUGGGGGGGGUUGUGAAAGGUUUGUGUGAAUGCGGAUGAACUAAAUUAAAACACAAAUGCGACA